rnacentral:rRNA from 1 species
GAAUCUUCGGAGGAAGAGGACAGUGACUGAGCGCCGGACGGGUGAGUAACGCGUGGGCAACCUGCCUCAUACAGGGGGAUAACAGUUAGAAAUGACUGCUAAUACCGCAUAAGCGCACAGGACCGCAUGGUCCAGUGUGAAAAACUCCGGUGGUAUGAGAUGGACCCGCGUCUGAUUAGGUAGUUGGUGGGGUAAAGGCCUACCAAGCCGACGAUCAGUAGCCGACCUGAGAGGGUGACCGGCCACAUUGGGACUGAGACACGGCCCAAACUCCUACGGGAGGCAGCAGUGGGGAAUAUUGCACAAUGGGGGAAACCCUGAUGCAGCGACGCCGCGUGAAGGAAGAAGUAUUUCGGUAUGUAAACUUCUAUCAGCAGGGAAGAAAAUGACGGUACCUGAGUAAGAAGCACCGGCUAAAUACGUGCCAGCAGCCGCGGUAAUACGUAUGGUGCAAGCGUUAUCCGGAUUUACUGGGUGUAAAGGGAGCGUAGACGGAUAGGCAAGUCUGGAGUGAAAACCCAGGGCUCAACCCUGGGACUGCUUUGGAAACUGCAGAUCUGGAGUGCCGGAGAGGUAAGCGGAAUUCCUAGUGUAGCGGUGAAAUGCGUAGAUAUUAGGAGGACACCAGUGGCGAAGGCGGCUUACUGGACGGUGACUGACGUUG